CCAGCAAGCUGAGCCAGGCUGACAGAACAUGUGAUCUCAACACCUGUGUCGGCUGCGGUCUCCAGCUAGGCCCCUCUCGUCCAGCCUCCCAGCCCCCACACGGGUCUCCGCAGCCGUGGCCGGAAGGAAGCCGUUCUGACUGUCUCUGCCAGAGGCUUCCCAGGGAGCCGCUGUAACCCCUGGGGCCCAGCCGGCUCACAGCCCGCGUCAUUGUGCGCAGGAGCCGCCACGGAGCUGCACGGUGCCGGCCUAAUGUUAGGUGACCUGUCCUUCUAAUGGUUGUUCCAACAGACUCUACACGGAAACACGGCUGGCCUCCACAGGGCCUCUGUGCGUCUCCAGCUCAGGCUCCCUGAUGGACAAGAAUCCUGGGGCCUGGGGCAUCUCCUACAGUUCCUUGUCACACAGGCAGAGGCCCCCAGCGCCUGACUCUGCGGUUGUUUAUUGCGGUUGCCCCGGUUGCCUGGACCCAUGAAGGAGACCCUUAAGGGCCAAGAGAGGCUGAAAAACCAGCCUGCAACCACAACGCAAGCCCUGAACAGAGCAGGACCAGCAUCUACCUGCUGUCCCCUGACACCACAGCCUGCAGGUUUCCUGUGACGCUACAAUAAUAAUCCUCCACCUGGGGAUCUGGAGUGCUGGCUUUGAGGUCAUCCGGAGGUGGAACCUUCACCAACAGGCAACACAAGGCAAGUGAUUCCAGGAUUAUCACACCUACUAUGUGUGACCAAGUCACAGGCUCCAGGACUGCCAGUUGCCAGUGUGACCAGCACCCUACAGGGCACACAGUAGGUCCUCUAUUAAGAAGUUUCCCACUACUGCUGUAAUUUUGCACUAUGAUGGCACCAUCAUGCUGCUGGUAAUGGUGUUGAAAAUGAUGUCACAA